rnacentral:tRNA from 1 species
GGUGCGGUGCCAGAGUGGUUAAUGGGUAUGACUCGAAUCUUGUAGAUAUCAUAUGUCUUCGGACGCAGGAGUUCGAAUCUCCUCCGCAUCGU